UUAAGCAUAUCAAUAAGCGGAGGAAAAGAAACCAACAGGGAUUGCCCCAGUAACGGCGAGUGAAGCGGCAACAGCUCAAAUUUGAAAUCUGGCCCUUUCGGGUCCGAGUUGUAAUUUGUAGAGGAUGCUUUUGGCAAGGCGCCGCCCGAGUUCCCUGGAACGGGACGCCACAGAGGGUGAGAGCCCCGUCUGGCUGGCCGCCGAGCCUCUGUAAAGCUCCUUCGACGAGUCGAGUAGUUUGGGAAUGCUGCUCAAAAUGGGAGGUAUAUGUCUUCUAAAGCUAAAUAUUGGCCAGAGACCGAUAGCGCACAAGUAGAGUGAUCGAAAGAUGAAAAGCACCUUGAAAAGAGGGUUAAAUAGUACGUGAAAUUGUUGAAAGGGAAGCGCUUGUGACCAGACUUGGGCGCGGCGGAUCAUCCGGGGUUCUCCCCGGUGCACUUCGCCGUGUCCAGGCCAGCAUCAGUUCGUCGCGGGGGAAAAAGGCUUCGGGAACGUGGCUCCCCUGGGAGUGUUAUAGCCCGUUGCAUAAUACCCUGCGGUGGACUGAGGACCGCGCAUCUGCAAGGAUGCUGGCGUAAUGGUCACCAGCGACCCGUCUUGAAACACGGACCAAGGAGUCGUCUUCGUAUGCGAGUGUUCGGGUGUCAAACCCCUACGCGUAAUGAAAGUGAACGCAGGUGAGAGCUUCGGCGCAUCAUCGACCGAUCCUGAUGUUCUCGGAUGGAUUUGAGUAAGAGCAUACGGGGCCGGACCCGAAAGAAGGUGAACUAUGCCUGUAUAGGGUGAAGCCAGAGGAAACUCUGGUGGAGGCUGGCAGCGGUUCUGACGUGCAAAUCGAUCGUCAAAUA
rnacentral:rRNA from 1 species